AUAAACUUUGGUGGCAGAAAGGGUGAGGCGAUAGUUAACCCCAUCAGCCACGAUUUGGGAUUCACCCUUGAUGACCUUCCAAAGUCUCAAUUUCUCCUCAGGUUUACGCCUUCUGUUGUUGUACUCCUUAACAGCAAAAUUGGCAACAUCAAUCACCUUUGGAUCAUUGAUAUUGUUGAUGGGGCUCAAAUUUCCUAUUGGUAUAGCUUGCUUUGUGGCGGUAAAUGCCAACAAAACAACGAGGACAAGAACCAUGGAUUCAAGUCUCAUAAUGCUUAUGUUGUAACUGUUAUAUAUUUUGAAGCUUCACAAAUUGUUUUGGUGUGAUUUAGUCUUAGCCGGUUAGGUUGUUAUAUAUGUUGCACAUAAGUUAUAUCUAGUUGGUAAUAUAAUUUAUUGAGUUAAUAGUGUUUUCUCCCCGUAAAAUAGGUCAUUUUCGGUUUACCUUUUAGAAAUUUUUUGGUUUGGAAUUAGUCCUUUUAUUUUUUAUUUUAUAGAAUACCCCCUAAUAGAUUAUUUAAAAGCAAAAAUUCUGAAAAAGAAAAAA
rnacentral:lncRNA from 1 species